ACAACUACAUUGGGCAUGUGGUCAGCAAGCAUGUUGGAUAUGUGGGUGGCACUUUUCUGCCUGGCACUCUGGUUGACAUAUACUGAUGGUCAGAAGGUCCUGACACAGCCUGGUGUUAUGUCUGUGAGUCCUGGGCAAACAGCUUCCUUGGACUGCAACAUUCAGAAAGAUGAGGGCAACUAUGUAGGCUGGCAGAAGCAGGUGCCAGGCAGUCCCCCUCAGUUUAUUUUACGUUUCUUCCGCUCUCACAGCGCUCCUGACUUAUAUGGCACUGGUUUCUCUUCCAGUCGGUUCACAUCAAAAGCCAGCAGCAAAACUGAUUAUCAGUUAAUAAUCAGUAAUGUGGAGGCUUCAGACAGCGCUGUGUAUUACUGUCAAACCUGGGACAGCUCUGCUAGUGCUGGGUAUCACAGUGAUAAAUAG